GGAUGCGAUAACACCAGUAUUAAAUCACCGGAUCCCAUCAAAACUCCGAAGUUAAGCUUGCUUGGGCCCUAGUAGUACUAGGAUGGGUGACCCCCUGGGAAGUCAUCGUGUUGCACCCC